GACGAACGCUGGCGGCGUGCCUAAUACAUGCAAGUAGAACGCACAGUUUAUACCUUAGCUUGCUACACCAUAGACUGUGAGUUGCGAACGGGUGAGUAACGCGUAGGUAACCUGCCUGGUAGCGGGGGAUAACUAUUGGAAACGAUAGCUAAUACCGCAUAAUAUUGAUUAUUGCAUGAUAAUUAAUUGAAAGGUGCAAUUGCACCACUACCAGAUGGACCUGCGUUGUAUUAGCUAGUAGGUGAGGUAACGGCUCACCUAGGCGACGAUACAUAGCCGACCUGAGAGGGUGAUCGGCCACACUGGGACUGAGACACGGCCCAGAGUCCUACGGGAGGCAGCAGUAGGGAAUCUUCGGCAAUGGACGAAAGUCUGACCGAGAAACGCCGCGUGAGUGAAGAAGGUUUUCGGAUCGUAAAGCUCUGUUGUAAGAGAAGAACGGGUGUGAGAGUGGAAAGUUCACACUGUGACGGUAUCUUACCAGAAAGGGACGGCUAACUACGUG
rnacentral:rRNA from 1 species